rnacentral:rRNA from 1 species
CCUACGGGCGGCAGCAGUGAGGAAUAUUGGUCAAUGGGCGCGAGCCUGAACCAGCCAAGUCGCGUGAGGGAAGACGGUCCUAUGGAUUGUAAACCUCUUUUGUCGGGGAGCAAGGGCCGGUACGCGUCCCGGCCCGGAUAGUACCCGGAGAAAAAGCCUCGGCUAACUCCGUGCCAGCAGCCGCGGUAAUACGGAGGAUGCGAGCGUUAUCCGGAUUUAUUGGGUUUAAAGGGUGCGUAGGCGGGCUUUUAAGUCAGCGGUAAAAAUUCGGGGCUCAACCCCGUCCGGCCGUUGAAACUGGGGGCCUUGAGUGGGCGAGAAGAAGGCGGAAUGCGUGGUGUAGCGGUGAAAUGCAUAGAUAGCACGCAGAACCCCGAUUGCGAAGGCAGCCUUCCGGCGCCCGACUGACGCUGAGGCACGAAAGUGCGGGGAUCGAACAGGAUUAGAUACCCCAGUAGUC